UACGGAGGAUCCAAGCGUUAUCCGGAAUCAUUGGGUUUAAAGGGUCCGUAGGCGGUUUUGUAAGUCAGUGGUGAAGGCCCAUCGCUCAACGGUGGAACGGCCAUUGAUACUGCAAGACUUGAAUUAUUAGGAAGUAACUAGAAUAUGUAGUGUAGCGGUGAAAUGCUUAGAUAUUACAUGGAAUACCAAUUGCGAAGGCAGGUUACUACUAAUGGAUUGACGCUGAUGGACGAAAGCGUGGGGAGCGAACAGG
rnacentral:rRNA from 1 species